UGCAACGAUACCACUGCGUGUGGUGCGAG
rnacentral:sRNA from 1 species